CAGCAGCCGCGGUAAUACGAAGGGGGCUAGCGUUGUUCGGAAUUACUGGGCGUAAAGCGCGUGUAGGCGGGUCUUUAAGUCAGAGGUGAAAUGCCAAGGCUCAACCUUGGAACUGCCUUUGAUACUGGAGAUCUUGAGUCCGGGAGAGGUGAGUGGAAUUGCGAGUGUAGAGGUGAAAUUCGUAGAUAUUCGCAAGAACACCAGUGGCGAAGGCGGCUCACUGGCCCGGAACUGACGCUGAGACGCGAAAGCGUGGGGAGCAAACAGGAUUAGAUACCCGCGUAGUCCCUGUCUCUUAUAC
rnacentral:rRNA from 1 species